rnacentral:snoRNA from 1 species
GAACCCUUCUGACAGCUUGUAAAGCCGAUGCCGUCAGUACCCGCAGAGGGGCACAGGAGGGUGAGUGAGUCUCCACAAAAGCCAGAGAAGAGACGGGACAGCUACUCUUCGGCUCCUGUCUGGAGUCACAGCU